rnacentral:lncRNA from 1 species
CUGUUUCUUAGUUUGCCUGAGAGAGGAGCAUGGUUUGAAGAAAUGAAAACGCUUGCUGGGCCUAAAGCUGUAGAGAAAGGAACAAGGAGGAGGAGAAAGGUGGAAAUUGCAUGUGAAAGGUAGAGAAGAUGAAGAAGGUUUUAUGGAGAGGGUGCGCAUUUUAAGCAGAGAGUGUUGUGGAGAAUAAGAACAACCACUCCUGCUCCUGGUGCUGAUGGG